GCUAUGAGGUCCUGGAAUGUGCUGUACACAGCACUCAAGUUACACUGCAAAAGCAUUCCCUGUUGCCUUCCUUCUGAGAACAGC